rnacentral:rRNA from 1 species
UACGUAGGGGCCGAGUGGUUUGCGGAUUUAUUGGGCGUAAAGCGCGUGUAGGUGGCUUGUUACGUCCGAUGUGAAAACUCUCGGCUCAACUGGGAGAGGCCAUUGGAAACUAAUAGGCUAGAGUGCAGGAGAGGGACGUGGAAUUCCUAGUGUAGCGGUGAAAUGCGCAGAUAUUAGGAAGAACACCAGUGGCGAAGGCGGCUUCCUGGACUGUAACUGACGCUGAGUCGCGAAAGCUAGUGGAGCGAUCAGG